GUUGUCUGUGGCCAGGGUGGGGGAAGCGGGGCGGUUGGGUGAUGACAGAACAAGGGAGAAACAGACUGAGACAGAGAGAAAAAAAAAAGUGACUUUCCAUCUGAAAGAUCAAAUAAGGCUCUGGAUGAUUGCUACGAUGCUGGAGAAAACCUUGACAGAGGAAGUGCUGCGUAGCCAAUCUCCAUUGCAGAGAGGCUCCACUGCAGGGACCCAGAAUUCUUAAGCUACCAACCUUGAGAUGGCAACUGUUUUCAUUUUUGUACCCAACAGAGCAUAGCCUCACAUUCAUCCUUCUCUUCUGGGAUGAGUGUGGAAUGCACAAGUCCUGAAAUGUCUUCUCUUAGAAGACAUUCUAAGAAUUCCAUUAGAUAAGCAUGAACUGGGCACCUCUACGUGCCAGGCAUUUGACAGGGAGAGGAGACCGAGAUGGGUAACAUUCAGUUUCGUGUGCAUGGCACUUUUAGUUGGUGCAAAUGAAAGAUGAGACCCCUGUAAAUAAAUAGAAGGCAGAUUUUAGCUGAUCUGGCUUU
rnacentral:lncRNA from 1 species